GGUUGAAGCGCAAGCUUUCAAGAAUUUUCUUCCAAGGGUGCGGGAGAU
rnacentral:ncRNA from 1 species